rnacentral:lncRNA from 1 species
UUGAUUGAUAAUCUUUUUGGACCAAAUUUAUUUAAAAUUCAAUCUUCAUUUUCUGAAAUUAUUUUUAAUUCCCGCGGGAAAAAUAUUAAUUUGUAAAUUUUUCAGAAAAAGGCAUGGCCUUUCCCGAGCAGGCACAAAGCCUUUCCGAACAGUCACAAUUCGAGGCUAUAUAAACUCAUUUUCGAGUACUGAAAAAAAAAAAUUAUUCGUGCAUUAAAAAUUCUACAUUCUUUUCUGCAAACUGAAACAUAUCGAGUCAUAGUGUGAUUUCGUUCCCGAAUUUGAGUUCGUCGAAGUCGUAGGCGUUUGAGGUACCGCCACUCCU